GCAAUUCUGGGAGUGAGGGGUUGGCCCGCCCGCCAUCAGCCAAUGGACUCGCGAGGUCCGCGCUCUUCGGCCAAUGAGAAGCGCAGGAGGCGGGUCCAUGAGCGCAGAUGUUGUAAACAACCCUGAGGGCGCUUACACGGCGUCCGGCGGUCUGUGAGGGAGGGAGGCGGGGCGGAGUCACCACCAGCCCGGCAGUCAGUGAGAGUCUGUUCAGAAUCGCAAGGUCACAGGAUGAAUAGGUGGGAAAAGACCUCUGAGAUCACCCAGUCCGACCUGUGACCGAACACCACCGUGUCAACCAGACCAUGGCACUGAGCGCCACGGCCAGUCCGUCCGUUAACACCUCGAGGGAGCGUGACUCCACCGCCUCCCUGGGCAGCCCCUUCCAAUGUCUGAUCACCCUUUCCAUGAGGAAGUUACUCCUAAUGUCCAACCUAAACCGCCCCUGGCACAGCUUAAGGCUGUGUCCUCUCGUCUUAUUGCUGGGAGACGAGCCCGACACCCCCCGGCUACAGCCUCCUUUCAGGGAGUUGGAGAGAGUGAUAAGGUCAUCCCCGAGCCUCCUUUGCUUCAGGCUGAUUCUCCCCAGCUCCCUCAGCUACUUCUUAUAGGACUUGUGCUCCAGACCCUUCCCCAGCUCCACUGCCCUUCUCUGGACAUGCUCCAGCACCUCAAUGUCUUUCCUGGAGUGAGGGGCCCAGAACUGGACACAGCACUCGAGGUGCGGCCUCACCAGUGCCGAGUACUGGGGGAGCUGAUCCAGCUGGUCACAGUGUUCCUGAUCCAGGCCAGGAUGCCACUGGCCUUCUUGGCCCCCUGGGCACACGCUGGCUCGUGUCCAGCUGCUGUGGACCAGCACCCCCCAGGCCUGUUCCACCGGGCCGCUUUCCAGCCGCUCUGUCCCCAGCCUGCAGCGCUCCGUGGGGUUGUUGUGACCGAAGUGUUGGUCCUGUCGAACCUCGCAGCGCUGGCCUGAGCCCGCAGAAUUCCCUGGCAAUCAAUCACGUGUCGAUGGGGCGGCAGGAUUGGCUCCCCCGGUCCAUCGGGACAGGGAUCCCGUCGGGCUGCGGGGGGCGCUGGCGGGACGCGGCUCCGGCGGCUCCCGGCGGCGGUUCCCGGCCCUUCUCGGCGGCUCCCGGCGGUUCCCGGCGGCUGGAUCAGAGCCAGCCCCGCACGAAAGCGCUGCCCACCCACCCUCCGGCACCCACCGCCCGGAGCCGGUCCGUCCUGCGGGGUCCGGGUGACCCGGGAUAGCCCAUGGCACGGUGCCCCGCAGCAGUCAGAUCCUGGAAGUGUUCAAAAAAACCCACGUGGAUAUGGCACUUGAGGACGUGGUUUAGCGGUGCACGCGGCAGUGCUGGGGCACGGACAGAGAUUCCUGCCUCUCCUCUGGAUCCCGGACACACAGAGCCUUCUGCUGCUGCCUCCUCCUGGAAAAAAAAAGAAAAAGAAAAAGAAAAAGGGGUGCUCUGAACCCCUGAUGUGCAGACAUUCAGCUCAGUUGAGAAUUGAGUUGCUUGAGUGGGAACAGGAAGGGUUGAGACCCGUUUUCAGGCAGUCGAAAGCCCAACAUAGUAACAGCUGCUGGGUAAUAGUAUGAAUUCUGGGAAAUCAUGUGGAUAGCAGCAGCCAAAGCCAGACAGAGAGGUGGACAGAAUGAUUUCAGAUACUGGCAUUGACAGGUGAGCUCUACCAAACCCUCGACAAAUGCCUUGACAAAGUACAGAAUUUCAAUCUGUCUUUCAGGGACCCACAGCUCCCUCCACCCGUUGCUCAUCCACCACUCUGACAAACAUACCUUCCCAGAUUUGGCAGCUACGCAGACACACCCUAAUGAGGUUGCUGUGUGGGCACAAAUGCCAGUCAAAGCUUCAGAUGCCCUCAGAAACUUUUUUUACUAGCUAGUCUCUGAAUAAAGAAUUGCCACAUGCCUACAUCUCCUCUCUGUCGCUCACUCUAGCACCCUGUGGAGGUUCCACUGCCCAUCCUCUAUAGCUAAAAUGGAGGAGGCCAGCAAAUAUUAGAAGUGGUGUUUCUGAGCAGGGCAGAACUACUUAUGCUGCCUGUUUUGCAGGAAUGCCAGGAUAGAGGAGUUCCUUGCACCUCUCCCCCACGUGGUGGCCGUAGCAGGAGUACCAGUUCCUUUGGCCCGAAGCAAACUUGCUGGUUUGGCCUCACAAGUCUUGAAAAUAAUGAGCUGGGAAGCUGCAAAAUCCAGGCAGCCACAGUUGCAACAUUUUCUCAGUCCAAUGAAGUUUCCCCCUACAGCCCCUUUUAACGGCACUUGUGGUGAUGUGGAUGGGGUUUUUUUCCUCCAAAGCAGAACAAAUGUAGCAACUUUUUUUUUUUUUUUUUGCAUAUAAGAACAAGUUAGUCUCCUAGACACUGCUGUAUCCCAGAAAGUCUCUAAGCAGAGAUGUACCCAGGGAUGUAGAGAGUCAUACUCACAGGUACCUCACAUUCAUACUUGCAUAUAUGCAUUGUGUAAAACACCCAGUUUCUCAGUAUAACCUCCCUUAAUAACGUUUGUUACAAAGUCCUGGCAGUCGAAACAUGUGGGUUGUUUGCUCAGAGUUUCUGGUGUUUUUCAGUCCAGAAAAAAGAAAGAGGAGAAUCAAGCCACACUUCAUGUCUUCCUGUCUGGAGAAAAAUAUGCACCUUAUUUCUGUGCUUUCUCUCCUUGCUCCUGAAGGAAGAAAGAUUUAGCAUUAAAAAACUGAAUACUGUGUACCGUGCUCAGAGCAGUGGCAUUUGGGAAUCCUACUGGCAGAGAAGAUUUGCUCUGUGGCAAGAUCCUUGGGAGCAGAAAUAGAGUGAAGAAUUGUGGUGGGGCAGCUGCAACUACCUUUGCUUUAUUGAUAUGGGUAAAGUGAUACUGGUUCUGUCUGGCGGUUUCCUUUUCUGUAGAACUAAGCAAACAGUUUCCUCUGCAGAGUACAACCCCUGAAAGCAAAAAGAAAAUACUGAAAGAGAAGGUGAACAGCAUGAAGCAGCCAUUGGAGGUGUGAUUUUGACAGUCUGUUACAUGACAGAAAUCUUGAAAACAACACUUGUGACCCAUGUCCAGUGAAAUCCCUGAGCUUGAAAUCCUCCUUCUGUCCUGAGAGCAAGCAAAGCACGGGCAGGAGAAGAAUCCUGCCCUCCCUGCUUCUCAAUUCAGUUCCUAUUCCCUCUCCUGACCUAUCAUUGUCAGGACUUGAAGAAAUGAAUAGGAUUUCCA